UAACUUACCCUGUCAAUCGGAGAAGUUUAUAUUCAACUUUGCUUCUCGUUUCACAGGGUAUAUUC
rfam:Octopus bimaculoides Scaffold56185_contig_9, whole genome shotgun sequence.